rnacentral:rRNA from 1 species
AUUGAACGCUGGCGGCAGGCCUAACACAUGCAAGUCGAACGAGUGGCGGACGGGUGAGUAAUGUCUGGGAAACUGCCUGAUGGCGGGGGAUAACUACUGGAAAAGGUAGCUAAUACAGCAUACCAUCGGAUGUGCCCAGAGGGGAUUAGCUAGUAGGUGGGGUAAAGGCUCACCUAGGCGACGAUCCCUAGCUGGUCUGAGAGGAUGAACAGCCACACUGGAACUUAGACACUGCCCAGACUCCUUCGGGAGGCUGCAGUGGGGAAUAUUGCACAAUGGGCGCAAGCCUGAUGCAGCCAUGCCGCGUGUAUGAAGAAGGCCUUCGGGUUGUAAAGUACUUUCAGCGGGGAGGCGUUACCCGCAGAAGAAGCACCGGCUAACUCCGUGCCAGCCGCCGCGGUAAUUC